UACGAGAGGCCCAAACGUUAUUCGGAAUUACUGGGCUUAAAGAGUUCGUAGGCGGCGCAGUAAGUAGGGUGUGAAAGUCCUCGGCUCAACCGAGGAAUUGCGCUCUAAACUACUGUGCUUGAGGAAGCUAGAGGUGAGCGGAACUGAUGGUGGAGCGGUGGAAUGCGUUGAUAUCAUCAGGAACACCGGAGGCGAAGGCGGCUCACUGGGGCUUUUCUGACGCUGAGGAACGAAAGCCAGGGGAGCGAACGGG
rnacentral:rRNA from 1 species